UUGUAAAGGCAUAAAGGUUCAUAUCCGUGCGCUUUAAUUCGGUUACACUAAAAUAUGAUUUAUUACUAAAUAACGUUUUAUACAACUUCAUAAAUUUGUUGUUGGCAACUUUUCUUGUAUACGAGUACUUUGUACUUUAAGUGUUAAGGAGGGUAGGGUUUUCAUUUUUUUGUCAUAAAUUACCAACUUUUUGAAAGUCGGUGACCCUUAUAUCUUCAAAACUGCUACUCUGAUCGUUUUGAAAUUUCGAACACUAUUUCAAUACAUAACUUACAUUGUAACGCUAGAGUUUCAAAUUUGUUAAUAUUUUUCAUUUAACAAUAACAAUAUAACCGAUUUUUUCGCAAAAAAUCGCGUUUUUUCCUCCAGCGUUACCUGAGCAAAGCGAUUAUCUAACGACGUAAUUUAGAUUUUUUGAUGUCAGAUGAUCCAACUCCGAGGUCACCAAAGUUUAACAUUUUUCCGAGACGCUUCAGAGUAAGGGGAUGUUCGGCUAACAAAUAACUGCACCAGAGAACGACAUUAACUAAGUACUCUUAUAACAGUCUCCAAAGCAAAAAAUCAACAUACACCAAAAUAUUUAACUAAUGAUUGAAUAUAUAAGAGAAUCACCAAAAUAUGAAUUAAGAAACAACUGUGAUUUUAGAAUUAAGUAUAAAGCACAAAAGUCGAAUGUUUUAUAUACAUAGGUUUAAGAUUGUAUAUUUUUGUAAAGAGAAGUAGGUUUAUUCAAGGGAAAUGAAUUCUGUUGGUUUAUCUGUACGGAAAGGUGAAGAGAUUCACCUUAAUCCAAAGGAAAUAAAAUCCGUUUAUUAACCUCAAUUUUAUUAAAUAAUCGCCUGAACUGAGUAUGCCAAUAUUAAUCUGAAAGAUCUCUGAUCUUUUCACUCGUACUGAACAAUAUUCAAAACCCUGCUGAUAGCCGAUGCUCUUGCAAUGACCUGAGAACCAUGCGAAUUUCGACUGUAAUAAAGCCCAAUGGGUAUCUUGCAAAGUUAUUGUUGACAGAUUGAGAAGGUGAUACAUUUACUCGUUAACAUACUUUUUUGGGGCAACUGAAGAUAACACAAAAUAUAACAUAGUAAACAAGGAAACUACAAAUUCAAGCUGGAUGGAUUAAUGAUAUGAAAUUCUCCAAGAGUGAAAUUGAAUGAUUUAAGAUAUUUUCCCAAUAAAUAUAGAUUAUUAAAUAUUCUUUCAUUGUCUGCAAAACUUAAUCGUUUGUAAUUCCAAUAGCUUGUAAUAUGUUCAAAUAAGCAAAACUCAUCAUUUAAUUAAAAUAUCUUAAUUAUUACACAAAA